AACAGGCCCUUAGAUUUCGCUACUGUAGCAAUUUCGUUUAUUUAUGGUAAAUAUUGUCCAAUUAUAAACUAACUAGGGUCAAAAGAUUCGUCUUACAAUUUACAGGCAAACUGUAUAAUUAGUUUUUGUUUUCGUCUAUAUUUAAUGCUUUAUGCAUGUGCCGCAAGAUUUGAUGUGACAGGGAAUCUUAAAAAAUUUUAGGAACUAAACAAAGCCUCAGAUAAACUUUUUUUUACUCUCUGCCAGGCUGCCACAAACAUAAAAAGUAAUAAUUAAAAAUAUUAUUUAUUCAUUUAUUAUAAAAAAAUACCAACAAAUGCCUAAUAGAUUGGACUGAAAAAUUCAAACGAACACGCUUGAUGGACGAGAAACAAACUUUUGAAAAUUGAAAGUGCGGUGGCCAAUGAAUCUGAUGCUCAAAUGUAUGAAGGUGAUUUGUACUACAUGAUUAGCAGUUUAGCACAAAAGCUAGAUGACAUAGCAAGUGAGUCCUCACAAAAGCCCCCCCCC
rnacentral:lncRNA from 1 species